GUGGAUUAGCUUGAGAUGUUAAAGUCUGUCGUGUGUGCAUAAAUCGCUCAAGUAUGAAGCAAGUUUUCCCAGUUGAAUAAGUUCCACAACUCUGAGGUUUGAGAAAGCAUGGUUCCAGAAACUGUUUGAAUUCUUUUCAUCAAUUAUGGGAUGAAUUUCGCAAAUAUGGUUGGUUUGUUCUUUGAUGAGUUUCUGCCUUUGUGUUCAAAAGCUGUCUGAUAUAAAGGAUCAGUCCCGUGUCACCUCGUGAACCAGCUGCAAAUCUGUCAGGUUAUGCAAAGUUUUCAUUCAUGCCUUAAAGUUAGGAAUGUAUGACUAUCUGAAUGCUUGAUUCCCAAUAAAUUGAAUUAGCUAUAUGUAUGCCAUGUUUCCUGCAAUCUGCUGCACUGUUGGCUCGGAUUAGCACCACU
rnacentral:lncRNA from 1 species